rnacentral:rRNA from 1 species
GACGAACGCUGGCGGCGUGCUUAACACAUGCAAGUGGAGCGACGAACCGGGCUUCGGCCCGGGGCAAAGCCGCGAACGGGUGAGUAACACGUGGGUAACCUGCCCCGAUGACCGGGACAACCCGAGGAAACUCGGGCUAAUACCGGAUGUGCUCCCCUCACAUCAGUGAGGUGAGUAAAGGUAGCUUCGGCCUCCGCCUCGGGAUGGGCCCGCGGCCCAUUAGCUUGUUGGUGAGGUAACGGCUCACCAAGGCCGCGAUGGGUAGCUGGUCUGAGAGGACGAUCAGCCACACUGGGACUGAGACACGGCCCAGACUCCUACGGGAGGCAGCAGUGGGGAAUCUUGCGCAAUGCGCGAAAGCGUGACGCAGCAACGCCGCGUGGGGGAAGAAGGCCUUCGGGUUGUAAACCCCUUUCAGGAGGGACGAAGCUUCGGUCGUUAAUAGCGGUCCGGAGUGACGGUACCUCCACAAGAAGCCCCGGCUAACUACGUGCCAGCAGCCGCCGUAACAC